rnacentral:tRNA from 1 species
GAGGGGAUAGCUCAAGUGGUAGGGUGCAUGCUUAGCAUGCAUGAGGUCCUGGGUUCAAUCCCCAGUACCUCCU